CCCUCAUGUCUGGGCAGGGGCUUAUUGUAGGAGUCUCAGAAGAGAGCUGUGGACUGACCUGCUUUACCCCUUCCCCAGGUUCCCAUU
ensembl:miRNA